rnacentral:rRNA from 2 species
GGUUAAGCGACUAAGCGUACACGGUGGAUGCCCUGGCAGUCAGAGGCGAUGAAGGACGUGCUAAUCUGCGAUAAGCGUCGGUAAGGUGAUAUGAACCGUUAUAACCGGCGAUUUCCGAAUGGGGAAACCCAGUGUGAUUCGUCACACUAUCAUUAACUGAAUCCAUAGGUUAAUGAGGCGAACCGGGGGAACUGAAACAUCUAAGUACCCCGAGGAAAAGAAAUCAACCGAGAUUCCCCCAGUAGCGGCGAGCGAACGGGGAGGAGCCCAGAGCCUGAAUCAGUGUGUGUGUUAGUGGAAGCGUCUGGAAAGGCGCGCGAUACAGGGUGACAGCCCCGUACACAAAAAUGCACAUACUGUGAGCUCGAUGAGUAGGGCGGGACACGUGGUAUCCUGUCUGAAUAUGGGGGGACCAUCCUCCAAGGCUAAAUACUCCUGACUGACCGAUAGUGAACCAGUACCGUGAGGGAAAGGCGAAAAGAACCCCGGCGAGGGGAGUGAAAAAGAACCUGAAACCGUGUACGUACAAGCAGUGGGAGCCUCUUUAUGGGGUGACUGCGUACCUUUUGUAUAAUGGGUCAGCGACUUAUAUUCUGUAGCAAGGUUAACCGAAUAGGGGAGCCGAAGGGAAACCGAGUCUUAACUGGGCGUUAAGUUGCAGGGUAUAGACCCGAAACCCGGUGAUCUAGCCAUGGGCAGGUUGAAGGUUGGGUAACACUAACUGGAGGACCGAACCGACUAAUGUUGAAAAAUUAGCGGAUGACUUGUGGCUGGGGGUGAAAGGCCAAUCAAACCGGGAGAUAGCUGGUUCUCCCCGAAAGCUAUUUAGGUAGCGCCUCGUGAAUUCAUCUCCGGGGGUAGAGCACUGUUUCGGCAAGGGGGUCAUCCCGACUUACCAACCCGAUGCAAACUGCGAAUACCGGAGAAUGUUAUCACGGGAGACACACGGCGGGUGCUAACGUCCGUCGUGAAGAGGGAAACAACCCAGACCGCCAGCUAAGGUCCCAAAGUCAUGGUUAAGUGGGAAACGAUGUGGGAAGGCCCAGACAGCCAGGAUGUUGGCUUAGAAGCAGCCAUCAUUUAAAGAAAGCGUAAUAGCUCACUGGUCGAGUCGGCCUGCGCGGAAGAUGUAACGGGGCUAAACCAUGCACCGAAGCUGCGGCAGCGACACUAUGUGUUGUUGGGUAGGGGAGCGUUCUGUAAGCCUGCGAAGGUGGCCUGUGAGGGUUGCUGGAGGUAUCAGAAGUGCGAAUGCUGACAUAAGUAACGAUAAAGCGGGUGAAAAGCCCGCUCGCCGGAAGACCAAGGGUUCCUGUCCAACGUUAAUCGGGGCAGGGUGAGUCGACCCCUAAGGCGAGGCCGAAAGGCGUAGUCGAUGGGAAACAGGUUAAUAUUCCUGUACUUGGUGUUACUGCGAAGGGGGGACGGAGAAGGCUAUGUUGGCCGGGCGACGGUUGUCCCGGUUUAAGCGUGUAGGCUGGUUUUCCAGGCAAAUCCGGAAAAUCAAGGCUGAGGCGUGAUGACGAGGCACUACGGUGCUGAAGCAACAAAUGCCCUGCUUCCAGGAAAAGCCUCUAAGCAUCAGGUAACAUCAAAUCGUACCCCAAACCGACACAGGUGGUCAGGUAGAGAAUACCAAGGCGCUUGAGAGAACUCGGGUGAAGGAACUAGGCAAAAUGGUGCCGUAACUUCGGGAGAAGGCACGCUGAUAUGUAGGUGAAGCGACUUGCUCGUGGAGCUGAAAUCAGUCGAAGAUACCAGCUGGCUGCAACUGUUUAUUAAAAACACAGCACUGUGCAAACACGAAAGUGGACGUAUACGGUGUGACGCCUGCCCGGUGCCGGAAGGUUAAUUGAUGGGGUUAGCGCAAGCGAAGCUCUUGAUCGAAGCCCCGGUAAACGGCGGCCGUAACUAUAACGGUCCUAAGGUAGCGAAAUUCCUUGUCGGGUAAGUUCCGACCUGCACGAAUGGCGUAAUGAUGGCCAGGCUGUCUCCACCCGAGACUCAGUGAAAUUGAACUCGCUGUGAAGAUGCAGUGUACCCGCGGCAAGACGGAAAGACCCCGUGAACCUUUACUAUAGCUUGACACUGAACAUUGAGCCUUGAUGUGUAGGAUAGGUGGGAGGCUUUGAAGUGUGGACGCCAGUCUGCAUGGAGCCGACCUUGAAAUACCACCCUUUAAUGUUUGAUGUUCUAACGUUGGCCCCUGAUCGGGGUUGCGGACAGUGUCUGGUGGGUAGUUUGACUGGGGCGGUCUCCUCCUAAAGAGUAACGGAGGAGCACGAAGGUUGGCUAAUCCUGGUCGGACAUCAGGAGGUUAGUGCAAUGGCAUAAGCCAGCUUGACUGCGAGCGUGACGGCGCGAGCAGGUGCGAAAGCAGGUCAUAGUGAUCCGGUGGUUCUGAAUGGAAGGGCCAUCGCUCAACGGAUAAAAGGUACUCCGGGGAUAACAGGCUGAUACCGCCCAAGAGUUCAUAUCGACGGCGGUGUUUGGCACCUCGAUGUCGGCUCAUCACAUCCUGGGGCUGAAGUAGGUCCCAAGGGUAUGGCUGUUCGCCAUUUAAAGUGGUACGCGAGCUGGGUUUAGAACGUCGUGAGACAGUUCGGUCCCUAUCUGCCGUGGGCGCUGGAGAACUGAGGGGGGCUGCUCCUAGUACGAGAGGACCGGAGUGGACGCAUCACUGGUGUUCGGGUUGUCAUGCCAAUGGCACUGCCCGGUAGCUAAAUGCGGAAGAGAUAAGUGCUGAAAGCAUCUAAGCACGAAACUUGCCCCGAGAUGAGUUCUCCCUGACUCCUUGAGAGUCCUGAAGGAACGUUGAAGACGACGACGUUGAUAGGCCGGGUGUGUAAGCGCAGCGAUGCGUUGAGCUAACCGGUACUAAUGAACCGUGAGGCUUAACCUU